rnacentral:rRNA from 1 species
GACGAACGCUGGCGGCGUGCUUAACACAUGCAAGUCGAACGGUAAGGCCCUUCGGGGUACACGAGUGGCGAACGGGUGAGUAACACGUGGGUGAUCUGCCCUGCACUUCGGGAUAAGCCUGGGAAACUGGGUCUAAUACCGGAUAGGACCAUGCGCUUCUCGGUGUGUGGUGGAAAGCUUUUGCGGUGUGGGAUGGGCCCGCGGCCUAUCAGCUUGUUGGUGGGGUAAUGGCCUACCAAGGCGACGACGGGUAGCCGGCCUGAGGGGGUGACCGGCCACACUGGGACGAAGAUCCGGCCCAGACUCCUGCGGGAGGCAGCAGUGGGGAAUAUUGCACAAUGGGCGCAAGCCUGAUGCAGCGACGCCGCGUGAGGGAUGACGGCCUUCGGGUUGUAAACCUCUUUCAGUAGGGACGAAGCGCAAGUGACGGUACCUACAGAAGAAGGACCGGCCAACUACGUGCCAGCCGCCGCCGUAA